ACAGCAGCCGCCGCGGUAACACCGAGGGUGCGAGCGUUAAUCGGAUUUACUGGGCGUAAAGCGUGCGUAGGCGGCUAAUUGAGUCGGAUGUGAAAUCCCCGAGCUUAACUUGGGAAUUGCAUUCGAUACUGGUUAGCUAGAGUGUGGGAGAGGAUGGUAGAAUUCCAGGUGUAGCGGUGAAAUGCGUAGAGAUCUGGAGGAAUACCGAUGGCGAAGGCAGCCAUCUGGCCUAACACUGACGCUGAGGUACGAAAGCAUGGGGAGCAAACAGGAUUAGAUACCCCCGUAGUCCCUGUCUCUUAUAC
rnacentral:rRNA from 1 species